rnacentral:rRNA from 1 species
UACGUAGGGGGCGAGCGUUGUCCGGAAUCAUUGGGCGUAAAGCGCGUGUAGGCGGCUCGGUAAGUCCGGUGUGAAAUCUUGGGGCUCAACCCCAAGCCUGCACUGGAUACUGUCGAGCUAGAGUCCGGGAGGGGAGAGCGGAAUUCCUAGUGUAGCGGUGAAAUGCGCAGAUAUUAGGAAGAACACCGGUGGCGAAGGCGGCUCUCUGGAACGGUACUGACGCUGAGACGCGAAAGCGUGGGGAGCGAACAGG